UUUCCUGGCUCCUCCCGGCCUCGCUCGGCGUCGCCGUCCUGGCGCUGCUGCUGCUGCUGGGGGCGGCGGCCGCGGCCUGGAGAGCUCUCCAGCGCCGUGCCCAGAACCUCCAGCUCCCAACCCCGAGCCUCCCCAUGGCCCCCAGGCCGUCGCUGUCCCGCUG